UACGGAGGGUGCAAGCGUUAUCCGGAUUUACUGGGUUUAAAGGGUGUGUAGGCGGGCUUUUAAGUCAGUGGUGAAAUCUCCGGGCUCAACCCGGAAACUGCCAUUGAUACUAUUAGUCUUGAAUUUUGUUGAGGUAGGCGGAAUAAGUCAUGUAGCGGUGAAAUGCAUAGAUAUGACUUAGAACACCAAUUGCGAAGGCAGCUUGUCUAAACAAUAUUGACGCUGAGGCACGAAAGCGUGGGGAUCAAACAGG
rnacentral:rRNA from 1 species